AUAUUGGACAAUGGUUGAAAGCCUGAUCCAGCUAUGCCGCUUGUUUGAAGCAGGUAUUCGGAUUGUAAAGCACUUUAUUUUGGGAGGAUGGGCAGUAAGUUAAUACCUUGCUGUUUCGAUGUACCCGACAUAAUAAGCACCGGUUAACUUCGUACCAUCAGCCGCGGUGAUACGAAGGGUCCACGCGUUAAUCGGAAUUACUGGACAUAAAGCGCGCGUAGGUGGUUUGAUAAGUUGGAAGUGAAAGCCCCGGGCUCAACCUGGGGACUGCUUUCAAAACUGGCAAACUAGAGUAUGGCAGAGGGUGGUAGAAUUUCCUGUGUAGCGGUGAAAUGCGUAGAUAUAGGAAGGAACACCAGUGGCGAGGGCGACUUUCUGGUCUGUAACUGACGCUGAGGCGGGAAAGCGUGGGGAGCAAACAGG
rnacentral:rRNA from 1 species